rnacentral:rRNA from 1 species
UACGUAGGGUGCGAGCGUUGUCCGGAAUUAUUGGGCGUAAAGAGCUCGUAGGUGGCGUGUCGCGUCUGCCGUGAAAGCCCAUGGCUUAACUGUGGGUCUGCGGUGGAUACGGGCAGGCUGGAGGCUGGUAGGGGCAAGCGGAAUUCCUGGUGUAGCGGUGAAAUGCGCAGAUAUCAGGAGGAACACCAGUGGCGAAGGCGGUGCUCUGGGCCGGAACUGACGCUGAGGAGCGAAAGCGUGGGGAGCAAACAGG